rnacentral:rRNA from 1 species
AGGGCCCCCUUUAAAAAAAGAAGAAAGCCGGAGGGUGCUUUGAUACGGCGCCUUAAAAUUAAAAAAAGAGGAUGAUGGAAUUCCUGGUGUAGCGGUGAAAUGCGUAGAUAUCAGGAGGAACCCGGUCCGCUAAAGGGGUCAUCUGGCUCGUAACUGACGCUGAGGCACGAAAGCGCGGGGAUCAAACAGGAUUAGAUACCCUGGUAGUCCGCGCCCUAAACGAUGUAUGCUUGGUGUUGGCCCUGCAAAGGGUCAGUGCCGUAGGAAAUCUGAUAAGUAUACCACCUGGGGAGUACCAUCGCAAGGUUGAAACUCAAAGGAAUUGACGGGGGCCCGUACAAGCGGUGGAUCAUGUGGUUUUUUUCGAUGCAACGCGAAGAACCUUACCCGGGCUUGAAGUGCAGGUAGUACGGAGAUGAAAGUCGAAGGACCCGUAAAGUCGGAUGACUGCAUAGGUGCUGCAUGGCUAUCGUCAGCUCAUGCCCGUGAGGUGUUCGAUUAAGUCCCGCAAACGAGCGCACCCCUAUUCUUAGUUGCCAGCGGUUAGGGCGGGCACUCUA